GAUGAACGCUGGCGGCGUGCCUAAUACAUGCAAGUCGAGCGAACAGACGAGGAGCUUGCUCCUCUGACGUUAGCGGCGGACGGGUGAGUAACACGUGGAUAACCUACCUAUAAGACUGGGAUAACUUCGGGAAACCGGAGCUAAUACCGGAUAAUAUAUUGAACCGCAUGGUUCAAUAGUGAAAGACGGUUUUGCUGUCACUUAUAGAUGGAUCCGCGCCGCAUUAGCUAGUUGGUAAGGUAACGGCUUACCAAGGCAACGAUGCGUAGCCGACCUGAGAGGGGAAUCGGCCACCCUGGAACUGAGACACGGUCCAGACCCCUAGGGGAGGCAGCAGUAGGGAAGUUCCCGAAAUGGGCGAAAGCCUGACGGAGAAACGCGGCGGGAGUGAUGAAGGUCUUCGGAUCGUAAAACUCUGUUAUUAGGGAAAAAAAAAUGUGUAAGUAACUAUGCACGUUUUGACGGUACCAAAUCAGAAAGCCACGGCAAACUACGU
rnacentral:rRNA from 1 species